GGGGCCGUCGCCUAGCGGUCUAGGGCGCCAGCCUUUCAAGCUGGAGGUCACGGGUUCGAAUCCCGUCGGCCCUACAA
rnacentral:tRNA from 1 species